rnacentral:rRNA from 1 species
AUGACGUCAAUCAUCAUGCCCCUUAUGACCUGGGCUACACACGUGCUACAAUGGUCGGUACAACGAGUUGCGAGCCGGUGACGGCAAGCUAAUCUCUGAAAGCCGAUCUCAGUUCGGAUUGGAGGCUGCAACUCGCCUCCAUGAAGUCGGAAUCGCUAGUAAUCGCGGAUCAGCACGCCGCGGUGAAUACGUUCCCGGGCCUUGUACACACCGCCCGUCACACCACGAGAGUUUGUAACACCCGAAGUCGGUGAGGUAACCUUUUAGGGGCCAGCCGCCUAAGGGGGGAUGGAUGAUUGGGGUGAAGUCGUACAGGCUAACCGAUAUA